AGCCCAGGACAGGGAGGGAGGUGUAGACCAGGUUGUAGAAAGUGAUAAACCAGGUAUCAUAAACUGUCUGGAAGAAUACCAAGGAGAUUUCUUAGACUCUUCUCCAAAGUCUCAGCUCCACCUCCCAGGUCCAAGAGAAGCCCUUCUGCCCUCCACCUACCCAUCACCAUACCAACCUAGAGCAGGAUUUGGAUUUCCGAAAUCUGACUGAGAAGGCUGACCCCAGACUCUGUUUGGUCCCUGGGUCCCAGGCUGGGACCAUUGAUAUUUUAUCUUCCCGAUUCUCCAAAGACAGAUAGGCUUCACUGUGCUUCCUGCUCCAGUCCUGGAAGAAUGCAUUGUCCAGUUCUCGAUGCUGCACUGUGCGUGGCACGUGGGAUCUUAGCUCCCCGGCCAGGG